GUGACCGCCCGGAUAAUAUUUAAAUCCCAAAAAUAUUCUGUUAUGAUUAAAAACUUUAUUUUUAUCAGGUCCGUGUUGAAAAAUGAAUUAAAACGCCUAAAAACGCUAAUUUUUCAAGUUUAAGCGCGUACCGCGUGUUUCUGCGCGACACAGUGCUUCUACUGCAAAACGCAGACAACGCAGCCAGUCUUGGCAACUGAAAUUUUAUUCCAACAAUAUUUUGGUAGGUUUAUUUUUGUAGAGUAAUAAAAAUAAUUUAGAACGCCAUAAAUCGGGAUUUAAACGCUAGAUAAAAUACCCGGUAUCUAGUUAAACACCCGUUUUAGCCUACAUAUGGCAUAUUUAUAUAAAAAUUUACACAUGGACCCCCUCCCCCAUCAAAAUUUCGGCCAUAUCAAGAGGGACCCACCAAAUUUCUUGAUAGAUGUUGAAAUGAUUACAUUUGAUCUUUCUUGGAUUCCUUGAGAUUUUUGUAAUCAUGGAAGAUCUUGUUAGAUUCCUUUUUUUUGCCUAUAAAUACCACCAUACUCCCCACAACACUUCACUCAACAAUCACCUCUCUCUCUCCUCCCUCCCAACCGUCCCCCAUCUCUCUCUCUCCAUCUUCAAACCUUCAAACUCUUGUUCUUCAUGUUCAUCACUAUUUCUAGCAACCUUCAAGUGGUGUGAAGAUUCAAGGGUGAUCUCAAGGUGUUCUCUAGUGAUUCAAGCUUCCCAUCAUCUUCACACUAGAAUUUCUACCCUAGCCUUGUGCUAGUAGUUGUCGUGUAGCGGACAGGGUUUGAGAUUCGAUUCAAGACGCACUACUGAGCUGUUGCUUAGGAUGUUCGUGACACACUAGGGCGGACCUAUGCCUUAGAGACUAAAAUAAAGAUGGAACUAGUUUAGUUAUGUAAUGAACACUUUGUUUCAGUUAAUUUUAGACUA